rnacentral:rRNA from 1 species
UACGAAGGGUGCAAGCGUUACUCGGAAUUACUGGGCGUAAAGCGUGCGUAGGUGGUUUGUUAAGUCUGUCGUGAAAUCCCCGGGCUCAACCUGGGAAUGGCGAUGGAUACUGGCAAGCUAGAGUGAGGUAGAGGAGAGUGGAAUUCCCGGUGUAGUGGUGAAAUGCGUAGAUAUCGGGAGGAACACCUGCGGCGAAGGCGGGUUGCUGGGCCGACACUGACGCUGAGGCGCGAAAGCUAGGGGAGCGAACGGG